UUAAGCAUGCAAGUCGAGCGGGCUUAUUCGGGUAACUGGAUAAGUUAGCGGCGAACUGGUGAGUAACACGUAGGUAAUCUGCCGUGAAGCGGGGGAUAACCCAUGGAAACAUGGACUAAUACCGCAUAUACUCUUGCUACAUAAGUAGAGUGGAGGAAAGUUUUUUCGCUUCACGAUGAGCCUGCGGCCUAUUAGCCUGU
rnacentral:rRNA from 1 species